AAUGGCCGCGGUACUUUGACCGUGCUAAGGUAGCGUAAUCAGUUGGCUUUUAAUGGAGGUCAGGAAUGAAUGGAAUCUUGUAUUUUAUCUGUCUCCUGAAGUAUUUAUUUGAAAUUACNAUAUAGAUGAGAAAGUCUAUAANUAGAAAAAAGCCGAGAAGACCCUUAGAGUUUCUCUAAAUAUGACAAUGAAAUGUUAUUUGGUGGGGUUGGGGCAACAUAGGAAGGCUAACCUUCCUAGAUUAAAUANNUCGAUUGUUUUAAAUUUGAAAAAACUACCUUAGGGAUAACAGCAUUAUUUAAAAAAUAAGUUUGUGACCUCGAUGUUGGACUGGGAAACUAAAAGGCU
rnacentral:rRNA from 1 species